CAAGCAGGGAGUAAAUGAUUUUAAAAUAUCCCAAUUUUUUUUUUUCUUUUCUAGUUCUAAACAAAGGAGAAAUUUCCCAAGAAGAGAGAAUAAAUCUACUUACGAAAAGAAUCAUGUAACAAGAAAAUCUAAGUAGCCUACUUCUGAUUUUAAAAUUAUAGCUGUUUGUAGAGGUUGGUAGGUCUGGUCACAGCAAACAUCUGGGUAGCUGGUGUGGAAGGUGUUUCAGAUGUGGAUGUCAGCGAAUGUAGCCUCCAGUCAAACCUCAGAUCAUAUACAUCUUGGAAUUACUAGAGGAAGCUGCAGGCAGAGAGUGUUAGAUGCCAUGUUUCCUCUGGGAGCAUGUGACCCAAUCUUUGUUCCAUGUGAAGUUAUUAAAGGCACAUUCCGUGUUCUAGAAGAAAGACAAGCAAGUACACAAUGCAGGAACAUUUCCAAUGGUCAUCUUUCCACCAUUCCGUACUGGUACUGCUGGAUCGGUUGUUGACGUCAGGCUGGGACACAAUGGUUGGCUGAUAUCUUAAGUCCUGUAGGAAGAGAUCAACAGCUCCUGCCAAGCCAGUGCUUUCCUCCAGAGUCAUCAGAUAAAGUGUGUGAUCGAUUGCGUGCUUCAGACUUUUGCUGCCAGAGGAGGUAAAGAAGAUAUUUCUCCAAGUAAUCUCUCACUGAAAGUUCUAUUUCUUACCUUGGAAAUGUGCCCAUUCUUAAUUUAGAAGCUAUAGGUUUCAUCCCCAUGGAGUAAAUGUUAAAAAUUCUUGAAAAACCCAGAAAGAUCUGUUCUCCUUUAUACUUUUCAGUGAGCAUUAAUUUAGGACUCUUUAAUAUUGAGCAAUGCUAGUCCCCAAAACUUGUGAAUAUUUUCAAUGUGCAAAAACACUCACUCAUGUGUGUAAAAUGGGUUAAAUCCUUGCAACUUCAGAGGCAAACACUGUUGUAGCUGCAAGGAGGAAACACAGACAUAAGGAAGCUGUUUAGCUCGUGUAAGGCUGCCCAGUCAAAAGCUGCCAGAAGAGGCUCUGCCCUCAGGAGCACGGCAUGCGUUAUGUCCUAAUGCCAUCUGGGUGUUCUGAGAAGGACUCUUUUCGGGUAGUAUAUUUUUCCUUUGUUGCCAGGUCAUUGCCACCAAGGCAAGGGCCUGUGGCAACAGUUGAGUGUCUGUGUUGGAAGUGUUACAACACUCUGUGGGUUUCACUCAAAGUAUAUCCAAGUUUUUGUUUGUUUGUUUGUUUUCCCAAGUAAUUAUUCCUGAAGAUGAAACAGGGAGAAUAAGUUGGUAGCAGAUCAAUGUAUGUAAAUGGGGAAAGUGCAUUUCUAAAGUUGCUGUAAGAAAACUCGUGUGUGAGUGUCGGCG
rnacentral:lncRNA from 1 species